CCUACGGGUGGCUGCAGUGGGGAAUUUUGGACAAUGGGGGAAACCCUGAUCCAGCCAUCCCGCGUGUGCGAUGAAGGCCUUCGGGUUGUAAAGCACUUUUGGCAGGGAAGAAACAGCCUGGGCUAAUAUCCCGGGCGACUGACGGUACCUGCAGAAUAAGCACCGGCUAACUACGUGCCAGCAGCCGCGGUAAUACGUAGGGUGCAAGCGUUAAUCGGAAUUACUGGGCGUAAAGCGUGCGCAGGCGGUUCGGAAAGAAAGGUGUGAAAUCCCAGGGCUUAACCUUGGAACUGCACUUUUAACUACCGGGCUAGAGUACGUCAGAGGGGGGUAGAAUUCCACGUGUAGCAGUGAAAUGCGUAGAGAUGUGGAGGAAUACCGAUGGCGAAGGCAGCCCCCUGGGAUGAUACUGACGCUCAUGCACGAAAGCGUGGGGAGCAAACAGGAUUAGAUACCCUUGUAGUC
rnacentral:rRNA from 1 species